rnacentral:rRNA from 1 species
GACAGAGGUGGCAAGCGUUGUUCGGAUUCAUUGGGUGUAAAGGGCGCGUAGGCGGCCUUCUAAGUCGAACGUGAAAUCCCCGGGCUCAACCCGGGAACUGCGUCCGAUACUGGAAGGCUUGAAUCCGGGAGAGGGAUGCGGAAUUCCAGGUGUAGCGGUGAAAUGCGUAGAUAUCUGGAGGAACACCGGUGGCGAAGGCGGCUCACUGGCCCGGUACUGACGCUGAGGUGCGAAAGCGUGGGGAGCAAACAGG